GAGAGAGGGAGAAGAACGUUCUAGAAGGCUGAGUGGAAAGACGUCCGGUAACGGCAGAGUGUCAGAGCUGAGACAAUUGUGGACUUUUUUGAUUGACUUUUGGCGAAAGUGCUCAAAAAGAGGACUUUGAGGACGUCAACCAUCAUUGUUGGAUGCUUUGAGUGGUCUACUCAAGCGGGACGAGUGGAGCUGGUCGCUAAAAAAGAGGCUAACAGUCGCUCGUCGCUAACACAGAGGCUAACGGCCGCGCGUCGCUAACCGAGAAGCUAGCGACGCCCGUCACUAACAAAGAGACUCGUGGUGAACCCCAACACUUGGCUAAACGUCUAGCGACCUGCUAAACAAGUGAGCGAAGCGUUUGUGGACGAACCAACUGGGAGAAGGGACACUCGACGCCGAAGCCGACGAGGAGGACGACGCCGACCCGCCGACGGAGAGGGAUUCUACGGGCAUCGUGAGAGAGUGGAGCAUCGCCUGUUCAACGAACAUUUGCCUUUCUGAGUGUUUGGAGGAAACAACAUUCAUUAAGGUACCCUCAGUUUUUUUUUGGCCUUCGGGUGAAGGAGCCAUUUUGUUUAAGGCUACUACGCACGCAAGCAGCGAAUCUGGCCAGCCACUGCGGAAAAAAAGGGAAAUGACCAUCGGCUAGCCAUGAUAUUUACAUCAUCAGCCUUCGCGCUGUGACCCAGGAAUUCAACUGCUACUUUCACAUAUGCCACGUCACUGGAAUCUGACCUUUUAUCCAGAUUGCCAGAAUCCUGCCAGCCGAACCGCCGGACCUGCGCUGACGCAGCUCCAACGACCCGGCCUGCGAAACCAACAACCCGGCCAAAAGGCCAAACACCGCGUGCUCACCUUAGACUUAACCCCUUGUACUGCCUCCAUUUUGAAAGCUGUAAAAAGGCUUCGAAACACAAGUUGACAAUUUAUUCAGGUUGGCAGCGAUCAAACGGCAAGGCGAAACAGCAACAGACCCAGGCGAGGAGGUGGACUCGUUCCAGGGUCACCAUAUCACAAGUCAACAAAAGGUUCCCGAGAAAAAAUGACCACGAUUAGUUAAACAUUCAGUGUUUUUGAAGGCUCUCAUGGGGCGUGCCGUGGGCAGCAAGAGGGGUGUGUUUGGGUUUUCUUCUGUUGCAAAUUUGGCCGGUCAAGUUUGUGUGUCACCGUUGCUGGGUCAUGGUUAAUGAGACAACUGAGGUGAGAGGUUCGGCGCGCCUCUCAACGUCUGAGAGGCGCCGAGCUAUCAAGCUUAGAGUUGUUUUUCUUAUCGGGUGUUGUGGUAGUAAAGGACGUCCCGCCAUUUGUUUUGGACUAUCCUGAAGAGCUGAUUGCGGGAUUUGGUGUUGCAGACGUGGGCUUGUACAUGUCUUGCCUAUCACUUGGUAGUCAGCGUCAAUCUUGCUCAGUCAGCUGCAUGACUCACGUUGGGCUUACGUGGUUAGAAGACGUCGUGUAUCUCUUAUGCCCUAUGUCAAAUAUAUUCUGUUUGUUUUCCUCAAACUAUGAUAUAAUAGGGGUGGGCGAUAUGGCCUUAAACACGUAUCACGAUAAAUGGAGGAGAUUUACCUCGAUAACGAUAAAUGACGAUAAAGCCGCCCAAGCGGACUGUUGUAUAAUUUGAAAAUCUGAAUCAAUGCAUGAAAUACAGAUUAAGUUUCUUGUUGAUUUAGUUACCAGCAUUCAAUUUGAUAUAUUUAACAAUUGUACAUGCAGUCUAGACAUUAGGUUUAUAAAAAUGUAUUGUAAACAAUAAGAAUUCAAGUAUGAGCAUUUAUAACAGCGUGUAUGGCUUGAACAAUCUACAUAGUCAAAAUCAAUAUGCCUGUGCAAACAUGUCAUUGUAACACAAAUGACUUGCAGCUUGAACAGUACACUUCAAAAAGACAAUUUAUUGUUAAUGGCUGCUGUGACAUAAUUAUUCAAUACAAGUGUUUACUUUAUGGUUUCAGCCCCCCCCCCCCCAGUGCAUUUUUUAAUAAAUGCAGGCAUACAUGAACCUCCAAACAGACAGACAGACACACAGUAAAGCUAUAUUGAUCUUCUGCAAAUGAAACACUUAAGAUUUUAUGAUAGCAAUAAUGACACAGAAUUAAGCACAUACAGAAAAAUAGCUGGGGCCAUUUCUCAGUCAUAUUAUAAGUUUCACCGUUGGAUUGUGCUUAAUUCUGAAUGCUUUACCAUCACAAAAGCUAUCAGAGAAAUCACACACAGUCAGAUACAAAAUAACGCGACAUAGUAAUUGCUAGAUGCAGUCCGUGCCCAAUCCACUCAUUAAGUUCAGCCGUAUCGACAAGGUUAGAGCCGCUAUCCGACUCCAUCACGUUCAUUUGUAGCGUUAGCCGCUAGCGGCCGCUAGCGUUAGGCGCUAGCGUUAGCCGGUAGCGGCCGCUAGCGUUAGGCGCUAACGUUAGGCGCUAGCGUUAGCCUGUGGCCUGGCUACCAGUAGAAAGCAAUGAAAGCACCAUCUCCGGAAAUCGUGAGAACAAGGGAGUACAGCGGGUGAAAGCCCGUCUGGAUGCCACCAAGAGUCUAUUAAAUGUCGGGUGAAAGUUUGGCGAACCUCCCUUAAGCCACACUCCAUCACGUUUUGCUUGUAGCAUUAGCUGCUAGCGUUAGCUUACCGGGCUUCUGUUUGAUUGGCUUCCUGAUGAUCACGCGACUCCCUACGUGAGUACAUUCACUGCUUUCUUAAAGAGGAAUGAACAUAGGCGAACAACAGUCAAAGCGGGAUGAAAAGACUAUUUUCUUGUUUUAUUAAUUUACCGAAUUUACCGACAUGGUCAAAAUUACGUCGGUCAUCGUGAAGAAUUUCGGUGACGGUAAAUUUUCGGUUUACCGCCCAGCUCUAUGAUAUAAAUACUAUUUAUUUUGUAUUGAGUACGUUGGAGUCAAGCAGUAAAAACUAGAAAAGAUACUAUUCCCUGAUUGAUUAUAUUAAGUGUGUUAGAGUAAUACAAACAGUUGAACGGUAAAUACGAUAAAAGAUAAUAUUCCCUUCAGUUCACACAAUACAAUUUCAGUCAGUUCUCGUAUUUCUUUUUUGUGGAUGCACAUUUUUCCUUGCGGAUAUCUAGUCUUCUUUUUAGCAACAGCAUUGUCCAUUUUUUGCUCACCGUUUGCCCCACUCACGUAGCCAGAAAUGCGCCUGUUCCACAUUUUUUUAUGCAUUUAAACUUGUCGCCGAUCUAAAUUCCGAGCCUCUCUCGCGCCUCCUCGGAUGAGCGCUCUGUUCACGGAUAACUUGCGCAGUGGUGCCAUAAUCCCUGAAGGGGGGCAAAGCCACCCCGGGGAGCGAUAAUAACCUCGUCGACGGGACGCGGCGGUUCGGUGAUCGGUUGAGCGUGAAAGCAUCAGCGGGGCCUUACUGUACUGCCUCAGAUAACCUCGUUGCCGGGAGGGCGCAUCAGGCUGUUGACCAAGCUAAGCGUGUCAAGAAAUUUUAAGUGUUUCCUCAACUUACUCUAUUAGCUGCGUUAUUGGACGUCUGGUGCUGGCAGUGAAUGGUCAUGUUGAAAUGCCACUGACGGCAAUAGACGUCCAAUCCACCUACUAACAGCGUAAUCCAUUUCACAUUUUGAAUUGGUUGACGGUUUUGUUCCACCCCAUAUAUUUUUGUCCAGUUUCAUUACUUUUUUUCCACCACACAUUCAUUAUGGAUGCAAUUACACUGUAAAACCACAAGAUGGAGUGGAAUAUCACUGACACUUUGAAUCUGACUAUGAAGGAAGACUGAAAACGGAAUUUUCAGGUAAGCCUAGAUUUUGCUUAUUUUUGGCAUCAUAACCCAUUCUAUGGCGAGUUUUACGCCUCAUGACCAUCACGUGGGAUGAUUAUUGAAUUCUGUUUUGACAUCAUGACUUUGUUAGUGCACUUUAUUCAAUUACAUUUUACUCAAUUUUGUCAUUUAUACAUUAUAAUACAGUAUUUCACUCUAGGCUUAUGAGUAUACACACCGUCACGGACUCCAAUGUUAGUCGUAAACAUCGUUCAUGUUUAACCUUGCAAGCUAAUAAAUCUGACUGGGCUUUCCAUUUACUCCUCCUCUUCCUCUUGUGAUACGAUCCCCGUGCAAAUGAUGUCUCUGCUGAGGCGUCCGCAGCUCAAUAUCGCUCCGUCGCUUCGCAUGCUGCGCCGCUCGUCUUCAACGAGGCGCGCUAACGAGGACGGGAAAUGAUGCCCUCAUGCGCAGAUUACUGAUACGCACUGAAGGUGGACGCUGAUUUAUCGGAGAGCUGGCGGCUCAAAGCUACAAGGCAGUGCAAGUACUGUACUGUAUAUACAGUGGAGCCUUGAGAUGCAAGAUUCAAUCAUUCAUUAUCUUUCGUUCUUUUGUGUAUUUCUUUUCUGUUGGUCAUCAGAAAUAGAAUAGAAUAGAAUAGAAUGCCUUUAUUGCCAUUGUACAGAGCACAAUGAGAUUUCAAGCUUCGCCAGACUGUGCACUAACAUUUCAUUGAACGAUUGAAUUGACGCAAAUAUUUAUUUGUCUUCUGUAAUCCAACCAAAUAUAUUUGUGUUUUUUAAUGGGUAGGUGUGAAGGAGGGUUUUGCUUCCUACAUUGAUUUCAAUAUUUUGUCAGGCUUUGACCAGAUCUAAUGGAGAAUAACUGUUUAAGUGAUUAGCUCCAUCUAGUGUUAAAGAUGAGAAGUGCAAGAGAAUGUAGGCUGAAUUUAAGCUUGUUGUGCGGGCGAUAUAUUACCGUAUUAGCCCGAAUAUAAGACGGCCCUGAUUAUAAGACGACCCCCUCUUUUUCAAGACUCAAGUUUAAAAAAAGACUUUUUAAACACCAAAUUCAUUUUUAUACAGAAAAUAAUUACAGUACAUCUGAAACAAAUGAUUAUAACAAUAUAUUUGAGAGAAAAAGCAUGUUAUUUUGCCUCAUUCAAAUCUUAAUAUCUGAACAUUUAAAUAUGUAAACUAAAGUGCAAUCACAUUCGUAAAUGAAUGGCUUCUGGUUUUUGAAAUGUAAAUAAACCGAUAAAACAACAAAAUUGCAAUAACUGCAUUAACCAUCAAAGUGAAGUCUAACUGUAACUGUAGUCUUGAAACAAAUCUGAAUAAGGAAAAGCAUUGCAAUAAAAUAAUGCAAACUGGUUAAACCUGAGAGUAGCUGAGAUCUGUCAUGACAGAACAUCGCUUCAAUGAUAUCUGGCGACAUCUUGUGUCGUGAAUGGGUAUUACGUCUAGACUGCGACUAUAAGACGACCCCCACUUUUUCAGUCUUAUUUCAACGCAAAAAUCACCGUCUUAUAUUCGGGCCAAAACAGCAUAUAUGAUAUUUACAUAAUUUUUUGUCAGUCAGUAAGAACUGGGCAGCGGGCCGUAGUUGUCCUGCGGGCUGUUGCUUGGACACCCAUAGUGUAAAUGGUAUGUGUUGCGGCGGGUACAGUGGGAGGACGAAGUAUGGAAACCAUUUAGGAUUUUGGAUAUUUUUGCAUAAAUUGGUAAAUUAAAAUAAAAAUUUGGAAUUUUGGAAAUUCUUACAUUCUGCAUCAUAGACUCCACCAUUAGUUGACAAGACAACUCCCAUAGACUUUGCGCCACGCCCUCCCGUAGGGGACCAACCCAUAGAGCGUUGAGGAGGCUUUCACUAUUCACUGUGAUAAACUCAAACACAUGCUGCGUUCUAAUGCCGGAUUUAGGUGGAAAUAGGACGAAGGUGUUAUUGCAUACAAGCAGGCAGGAAUGUCUCAAGUGUGAUUUGGUCGAAGAUUCAAGGUAAUUAUUAUAUUAAAUAGCACCAUACAUGGACUUUAAAACGUUGUGAAUACGAUGAAAUUAAUGGAAAAAAUUAGCCUAACUUUAGCUUGAAAUAUUUACAUAAAAUGAAUGAUAACUGCCUGUUUUUUGCUUUUAACCAAGAAUCUAGACUGUUUUACGUUCAUAUCUAUAUAAAUUCCGCAGUUUAAGCAUUUAUUUGCAAGAAUUUUCAACUUUAAAAAAUUUUGUUUCAUGAUGGCCGCCAUGUUGGAUUAAACAAUACCGUAAUUUUGGCUUGAAAUAUUUACACAAAAUGAACGAUAACUGCCCGUUUUUUACUUUUAACCAAGAAUCUAGACUGUAUAACGUUCAUAUCUAUAUAGAUUCCGCGGUUUAAGCAUUUAUUUGCAAGAUUUUUCAACUUUAAAAAAAUUUUGUUUCGUGACGGCCGCCAUGUUGGAUUAAACACCAUAAUUUUGGCUUGAAAUAUUUAAACAAAAUGAACGAUAACUGCCCGUUUUUUGCUUUUAACCAAGAAUCUAGACUGUAUAACGUUCAUAUCUAUAUAAAUUCCGCAAUUUAAGCAUUUAUUUGCAAGAAUUUUCAACUUAAAAAAUUUUGUUUCAUGAUGGCCGCCAUGUUGGAUUAAACAAUACCGUAAUUUUGGCUUGAAAUAUUUACACAAAAUGAACGAUAACUGCCCGUUUUUUGCUUUUAACCAAGAAUCUAGACUGUAUAACGUUCAUAUCUAUAUAAAUUCCGCAAUUUAAGCAUUUAUUUGCAAGAAUUUUCAACUUAAAAAAUUUUGUUUCAUGAUGGCCGCCAUGUUGGAUUAAACAAUACCGUAAUUUUGGCUUGAAAUAUUUACACAAAAUGAACGAUAACUGCCCGUUUUUUACUUUUAACCAAGAAUCUAGACUGUAUAACGUUCAUAUCUAUAUAGAUUCCGCGGUUUAAGCAUUUAUUUGCAAGAUUUUUCAACUUUAAAAAAAUUUUGUUUCGUGACGGCCGCCAUGUUGGAUUAAACGCCAUAAUUUUGGCUUGAAAUAUUUAAACAAAAUGAACGAUAACUGCCCGUUUUUUGCUUUUAACCAAGAAUCUAGACUGUAUAACGUUCAUAUCUAUAUAAAUUCCGCAAUUUAAGCAUUUAUUUGCAAGAAUUUUCAACUUAAAAAAUUUUGUUUCAUGAUGGCCGCCAUGUUGGAUUAAACAAUACCGUAAUUUUGGCUUGAAAUAUUUACACAAAAUGAACGAUAACUGCCCGUUUUUUACUUUUAACCAAGAAUCUAGACUGUAUAACGUUCAUAUCUAUAUAGAUUCCGCGGUUUAAGCAUUUAUUUGCAAGAUUUUUCAACUUUAAAAAAAUUUUGUUUCGUGACGGCCGCCAUGUUGGAUUAAACACCGUAAUUUUGGCUUGAAAUAUUUAAACAAAAUGAACGAUAACUGCCCGUUUUUUUAUUUUAACCAAGAAUCUAGACCGUAUAACGUUCAUAUCUAUAUAAAUUCCGCAAUUUAAGCAUUUAUUUGCAAGAAUUUUCAACUUAAAAAACGUUUUGUUUCGUGACGGCCGCCAUGUUGGAUAAAACAAUAAGGUAAUUUUGGCUUGAAAUAUCUACGCAAAAUGAACGAUAACUGCCCGUUUUUUACUUUUAACCAAGAAUCUGGACUGUUUAAUGUUCAUAUCUAUAGAAAUUCCGCGAUCUAAGCAUUUAUUUGCAAUAAUUUUCUACUUAAAUAGCACUUUGCCCCCACGUUGAAUUUUGUAUCUCUACACAAUAGCGGAAUUCAACUUAAAUAAUUUCUUAUUAUAUAUAGAAAAAUUCCAAUUUUGCUUUUGUUGAGUAAAAUUACGGCAACUCUGCAUGCUUUCCUCAAGUAUUAAGUGUCUGAUGGAAAAAUUGAGUGAUUUAUUAGCUGUUGAAAACUUGUGCUAAUUUUAAAAAAAAUUAACUUGCUAUUUUGAGCAAAAACAUAUGAUUUGUUA